rnacentral:rRNA from 1 species
GCAGCCUGAUGCAGCCAUGCCGCGUGUGUGAAGAAGGCCUUCGGGUUGUAAAGCACUUUCAGUCAGGAGGAAAGGUUAACGGUUAAUACCCGUUAGCUGUGACGUUACUGACAGAAGAAGCACCGGCUAACUCCGUGCCAGCAGCCGCGGUAAUACGGAGGGUGCGAGCGUUAAUCGGAAUUACUGGGCGUAAAGCGUACGCAGGCGGUUUGUUAAGCGAGAUGUGAAAGCCCCGGGCUCAACCUGGGAACUGCAUUUCGAACUGGCAAACUAGAGUGUGAUAGAGGGUGGUAGAAUUUCAGGUGUAGCGGUGAAAUGCGUAGAGAUCUGAAGGAAUACCGAUGGCGAAGGCAGCCACCUGGGUCAACACUGACGCUCAUGUACGAAAGCGUGGGGAGCAAACGGGAUUAGAUACCCCGGUAGUCCACGCCGUAAACGAUGUCUACUAGAAGCUCGGAGCCUCGGUUCUGUUUUUCAAAGCUAACGCAUUAAGUAGACCGCCUGGGGAGUACGGCCGCAAGGUUAAAACUCAAAUGAAUUGACGGGGGCCCGCACAAGCGGUGGAGCAUGUGGUUUAAUUCGAUGCAACGCGAAGAACCUUACCUACACUUGACAUACAGAGAACUUACCAGAGAUGGUUUGGUGCCUUCGGGAACUCUGAUACAGGUGCUGCAUGGCUGUCGUCAGCUCGUGUUGUGAGAUGUUGGGUUAAGUCCCGCAACGAGCGCAACCCCUAUCCUUAGUUGCUAGCAGGUAAUGCUGAGAACUCUAAGGAGACUGCCGGUGAUAAACCGGAGGAAGGUGGGGACGACGUCAAGUCAUCAUGGCCCUUACGUGUAGGGCUACACACGUGCUACAAUGGCGCAUACAGAGUGCUGCGAACCUGCGAAGGUAAGCGAAUCACUUAAGUGCGUCGUAAUCCGGAUUGGAGUCUGCAACUCGACUCCAUGAAGUCGGAAUCGCUAGUAUCCGUAUCAAUGACGCGGUGAAUACGUUCCGGGCCUUGUACACACGCCCGUCACACCAUGGGAGUGGUUGCUCCAAAAUAAUAGCCUAACCCUCGGGAGACGUUUACCGAGUGAUUCUGACUGGGUGAU